rnacentral:rRNA from 1 species
GAUGAACGCUGGCGGCGUGCUUAACACAUGCAAGUCGAACGUGAGAAUAGCAAUAUUUGAAAGUGGCAAACGGGUGAGUAACACGUGGGAACCUGCCCUGGAGUGGGGGAUAACGACUGGAAACGGUCGCUAAUACCGCACAGUUCUACUCUAUCGGGAGUUGAGUAGAUAAAGAUUUAUCGCUCUGGGAGGGGCCCGCGGCCGAUUAGCUAGUUGGUGAGGUAAUGGCUCACCAAGGCAAUUAUCGGUAGCUGGUCUGAGAGGACGAUCAGCCACAUGGGAACUGAGACACGGUCCCAACUCCUACGGGAGGCAGCAGUAGGGAAUAUUGGUCAAUGGGUGAGAGCCUGAACCAGCCAUGCCGCGUGCAGGAAGACGGCCUUCUGGGUUGUAAACUGCUUUUAUCUGGGGAUAAAAAAGCCCAUGCGUGGGACAUUGAAGGUACCAGAUGAAUAAGCACCGGCUAACUACGUGCCAGCAGCCG